rnacentral:lncRNA from 1 species
ACAGGAUGUGGGGCGUUGGGGGGGGUCCCUGAGAAUACAGGUUGUCCCUUUGUUGGGGGGCUGACUGGAAAUAGUGGCUCCUGAUGAGAGCUGAGUCUGCCAAAUUCAUGACACGUGAUCUGAUCCAACUCUGUGCUGGCUGUGGGUGCACCCACUCCUAAACAGCAUAGGUUUGUAUGGAAGUGCCCAGAGCUGUGUCCCACAGGGAGGGGUUGGGAGACUUGGGGCUGUCCCUGCCCUUCAAUGUCCCUUCAUUAUCCCCCCAUCGUCCCCUGUCCUGUCCCUACAGCCGGGCCAUCCGUGCGCUGCAGGACGCUGCGCCUGCGGCUGGAGGAGAGCCUGCACCGGUCUCACAGCUACCCUGAGGGCAGAGCCCCCCACACCCCCAAGGGGAGGAGGCAGCCAGCGGCCAGCAGAGCUUCAUUUCUCCGGGAUGCAGCACCCAUGGGGGAGCAGACCCCCACUGCGCGGGGCAGGAUGACCCCGGGCGGCCCCAGAGGCAGAUGGGCAUCGCUGCCACGGGAUGGGACUCCGGCAGACUUCACCUCCCAGUCGGACCGCUCGCUGCGUGCGCACGGUGACAGCCGUCCCCGAGCCGCCCCGUCCGCUCACAAACGCCCUCGCAGCCCUUUGGGUGCGAUGUCACUGCGGGGACAGCAGGCGGCUGAACGCCGAGAGCCCGACCCGCUGGAUAACGCACACGGUCGCACCGACGCCGCGUUCGGGGGGACGCAUUACCGCGUGGCACCGCCCCGUGGGGAGCCGAGCGCUGCGCCGUGCCCCCGCUGCCACCCCGACGGGACAACGACGGGUGCCCCAUCAGCCGACGCCACGCGGUCGCAGCGCAGCAGCACCGCCAGGACCCCCGAGCGCUGCCCAACGUGCCGGGCAUCACGCGGUGACACGGACAGAGCCGGGCACGCACAGCGCAGCAAAUCGGACGGCAAAUCCCCGCCGGAGCCCCGCAGCCGCCCCCAGGCCGUGCAGCCGGAGCGGCCCGCAGGGUGUUGGUACUUGGCGGGGGGGCCUCCCGUCGCCUACCUCGCCCCCGUCCCCGUGGUGNNNNNNNNNNNNNNNNNNNNNNNNNNNNNNNGGGGGGCGGGGGGGAGGGGAACAGGGGGGGAAGGAUUGGUGAGCUGGGGGGCUUAA